ensembl:lncRNA
UGCUGAUCACAAACAAUUACACACAAAGACAAAGGAAAAGCCCAAGGCUUACAUAGGAGCUCAGUGAAUACAUUGGUUACAGGUGAGAACUAAACUUAAUUAAUACAUAGGCUACAGGUGAGAACUCAAUUAAAUUAACACAUUGGCUACAGGUGAGAACCAAACAUGGAGGGAAAACUAAGGUGUGAGGGAAAUACUAAACACAGGAGAGGAUGAACGGACUGGAGUAGCAUAUGGAGCAAGAGCAGGAACAGGAACAGAGGAGCGUGCAGCAGAGGAGCAUGCACAGGCUGUAAACGUGCUCACGAGAGAGCAAAGAAAAUAUACAGGGUGGAGUGGACGUUGUGAGAGAAGAUGAGAGGAGCAAACACGGAGGAAAUGGGUAAUGCAACAUCAAACUAUAUCUGUAUAAACGGUAUUGUCUCAUC